rnacentral:lncRNA from 1 species
UUUAUAAACUUAUCUGUAACUGUAUCUUAAAGUUAGCUUUCUAACAAGAGAGAACUAUUUUUCCAGCUAGAUGAGAAAAGUAACUUUAAAUCUCCUGUUUUCUGCUAUUCUCUGCUCACUUAACCCUUGAAAGCUGAUUUAUAAACUAAGUCAAGUCAAAAAGUAUUUAUUAAGUAGCUGCGCUCCUCCCAGAAUUGUGCUAUUUGAGAAUUAAAUAUAUGAAACAUACACUAUACCCACGAGCUUACAAUCUGGUUAAGAAAUCUCUUACUUCUGGUCAUGGGCAAACUCAGUAAAAGUAUAAAAUGUGUGUGUGUCCGUGUGCACGUAUAGUGCUCAAGAGAAUAUAAAUGUUUUGGAAAUUCAGAGAAAGGAACUUUAGUGUGAGCUGGAGUAGUCAUGACAAAAGAUUGAAAUGAUGCUAAGUAAUGCAUAAGGUAUUAAUAAGUGAGGUAAAGCAGAAAGUCAUUUCACGGAUCCAGC